GCGCUACGACUUUUUCAAGGCGUUCCGAUUUGCGUGCUCUAAUCCACGUCGUAUCCGUAUAAACUCGUGAAAGAGAAAGCAAAAAAUCUCCUACUAAUUCUGUCCACAUUCUGAAGUGUUCAUCAGAUGGGUACAUCUCUCACAGGAGGCCACGACAAACCAUACGGCAAGAUGAUGAUGCUACGUCACAUUGUGGAAAACUGAAUGAUUUAGACAUCUUACAUGACUUGCAAGGCAAGAAAACAGAGAAAACCUGAAUUCAAAACAUGAAGUAAGAUCAUGUUAUUACUUCCAAUUCAGAACUCAAAUGAAACUUCAAAAAGUGUGCUGUUAAAUGACUUCUUUAUUAAAAGCUUUGCAUAAUCUGAAAUGUCCUCAGACUGGUGUGUGCAGUGAUGAUGAUAAAGAACAGCAGUGUGCUGAUGAAGGAAAUGUUGAAGAUGCUGUAGUGCCGUGGACAAGACCCUGCAUCCCUCCACCUGCCUGGGUGUCCUUAUCUGAGCCAGAUGUUGGUGUGGUCUCUUCAUCUUUAGUAUGAAUCGGUUUCUCAGGCAUGGACAGCCUUACCUCACAACUCUGUUCCAGUCUGACUGCAGCACUGAGGGAUGUGAUGGCAAAAACAAUUGAAGUCCAGCAUGCAGCAGAACAUGGGGUUUUGUCUGAAAUACAUGAUUGUUUGAAUAAGUUUGAAUAAAGCUUAGUUUUGU
ensembl:processed_transcript